CAGGACCAAAAACUGUCUGGAGAAACAAAACACAAGGUGCAUUAACUGACCGGCCCAUACACAGGACCCAAAACUGUCUGGAGAAACAAAACACAAGGUGCAUUAACUGACCGGCCCAUACACAGGACCCAAAACUGUCUGGAGAAACAAAACACAAGGUGCAUUAACUGACCGGCCCAUACACAGGACCCAAAACUGUCUGGAGAAACAAAACACAAGGUGCAUUAACUGACCGGCCCAUACACAGGACCCAAAACUGUCUGGAGAAACAAAACACAAGGUGCAUUAACUGACCGGCCCAUACACAGGACCCAAAACUGUCUGGAGAAACAAAACACAAGGUGCAUUAACUGACCGGCCCAUACACAGGACCCAAAACUGUCUGGAGAAACAAAACACAAGGUGCAUUAACUGACCGGCCCAUACACAGGACCCAAAACUGUCUGGAGAAACAAAACACAAGGUGCAUUAACUGACCGGCCCAUACACAGGACCCAAAACUGUCUGGAGAAACAAAACACAAGGUGCAUUAACUGACCGGCCCAUACACAGGACCCAAAACUGUCUGGAGAAACAAAACACAAGGUGCAUUAACUGACCGGCCCAUACACAGGACCCAAAACUGUCUGGAGAAACAAAACACAAGGUGCAUUAACUGACCGGCCCAUACACAGGACCCAAAACUGUCUGGAGAAACAAAACACAAGGUGCAUUAACUGACCGGCCCAUACACAGGACCCAAAACUGUCUGGAGAAACAAAACACAAGGCGCAUUAACUGACCGGCCCAUACACAGGACCCAAAACUGUCUGGAGAAACAAAACACAAGGUGCAUUAACUGACCGGCCCAUACACAGGACCCAAAACUGUCUGGAGAAACAAAACACAAGGUGCAUUAACUGACCGGCCCAUACACAGGACCCAAAACUGUCUGGAGAAACAAAACACAAGGUGCAUUAACUGACCGGCCCAUACACAGGACCCAAAACUGUCUGGAGAAACAAAACACAAGGUGCAUUAACUGACCGGCCCAUACACAGGACCCAAAACUGUCUGGAGAAACAAAACACAAGGCGCAUUAACUGACCGGCCCAUACAC